rnacentral:lncRNA from 1 species
GAUCGCACUCCAACGCCCAAGUCAGUGACUGAACCACCAAUUACUAAGAGUAACACUCAAGAACUCUCAAGGAACCGUGAACCAGUUCUCUCUCAGUAUACUCAAGAACUCGCAAGCGUAAAGAAGACAAUCUGAACGUGCGUACCUCAGAAGUUCGUUGGGAAACCCUUAUAUACCUGGACACUUUCUCUCUCCUGGCAGUUACACAUNNN